GAGGGGAAGGAGUGGGAAAUAUGUAUUCAGUAAAGAUGUCUGUUGUUAGGUUAAUGGAGUGACUUUUGGAAAGCCCCUAGGCAACCUAAGGAUUGGGGCUGCUUCCAGGGAAAACAGCCAUGUGAUCAGAAGAACAUGUGAACUUUCAGUAUACCCCCAUAUCUCCAGGGGAGGGGACAGGAGUGGGAAACUGAGUCCAUUUACCAACAGUCCGUGAUUUAAUCCACUCCAAGAUGGCAGAGUAAAAGGACAUGUGCUUAUCUUUUCCUGUGAGAACACUAAACUCGCGACUAGCUGCUGAACAACGAUCAAUAGGAAAAUGUUGGAACCCACCAAAAAAGAUACUCCACAUCCAAGGACAAAGGAGCAGCCUCACCAAGAUGGUAGGAGGGGCCCAAUUGUGUUUAAAAUCAAACCUCAUACCCGCCAGAGAUGUUGCAGGGCACAAACAAAACCUUGGUGCUCCAGGGCCCAGGAGACAGGAGCAGUAACCCCACAAGAGACUGAGCCACACUUGCCUGUGAGUGUUUUGAGCUCUCUGGUGAAGGCAUGGGUUGACAGUGGCUUGCUGUGUGGCCAGGAGCACUGACAGCUGCAAUACUGGGAGACGCAGUGUGCUGGCAGAAAUUUUUUUGAAGGAGGUUGCCAUUACCCCUACCGUAGUUUGGGCUCAGGCCAAACUACAGAGAAGGGGCACAGCCCCACCCAUCUGCAGAAAAUUGGAUUAAAGAUUUACUGAGCAUGGCCCUGCCCAUCAAAGCACGGACUGGAUUUUCCUCAUAGGCAGUCCCUCCCAUCGGGAAAUUGCACAAGCCUCUUAUUCUCAUGCAUCAGAGGGCAGACAGAAAG